CUCUGUGACUCCUACGGGAGGCAGCAGUGGGGAAUAUUGCACAAUGGGCGCAAGCCUGAUGCAGCCAUGCCGCGUGUAUGAAGAAGGCCUUCGGGUUGUAAAGUACUUUCAGCAGUGAGGAAGGCGGAGUCGUUAAUAGCGGCCUCGUUUGACGUUACCUACAGAAGAAGCACCGGCUAACUCCGUGCCAGCAGCCGCGGUAAUACGGAGGGUGCGAGCGUUAAUCGGAAUUACUGGGCGUAAAGCGCAUGCAGGCGGCCUGUUAAGUCAGAUGUGAAAGCCCGGGGCUUAACCUCGGAAUUGCAUUUGAAACUGGCAGGCUAGAGUCUUGUAGAGGGGGUAGAAUUUCAGGUGUAGCGGUGAAAUGCGUAGAGAUCUGAAGGAAUACCAGUGGCGAAGGCGGCCCCCUGGACAAAGACUGACGCUCGGAUGCGAAAGCGUGGGGAGCAAACAGGAUUAGAUACCCUGGUAG
rnacentral:rRNA from 1 species